AUGAAAAGAGGUUUGGGGUUUGGAACAGCAAACGUUGUCCAGCCUUAAACACUCAACAUCCACACCUUGUGAACUGUAAUGUAUCUGGCGGCUUUUCUGUUGGUGUCUGGAAAGACAUUUUUGGGGGGCCGCCAGUUGUUUUUAAUCAACACGUUUGUUAAACUUGAGCCUAAGUGAAUUUUCUAUUGCAAAAAUUGUACAAA
rnacentral:misc_RNA from 1 species